rnacentral:lncRNA from 1 species
CGGAGAUCUUGAGGCCUCAGGACUGUUUGAUCGAGCGGAUGGGGGUCUCUCCGGCGGUUUUUCCUCGCCGUAAGGCUUUCCCCGGAAGCGCAAAGGCGAACCGGAGACCGGUGGUUCGGGCUGAGAGGUCGGACCAGAAGAGGCGGGGGAGUCAGUCGGAGGGGUCCAUUUCUAAGAGAUCGAGCUCCGAUGAUGUCAGGGCCGCGAAGGGGAAUGUUGUGGUGGGCCCGGUGACGAUUCUCAGGCGAGGGGAGUCGCUUGACUCGAAAUUAAAGAGCGAGGCUCUGAAGAAGAACGGCGAGGAGGAAAUGAUAGUUUCUGGAACCGAGAGGUUGGGCCCGGACCCGGAGAUGGUGCCGAAGCAGAUCCGCAUCAAGGAUCUGAAGCCGUUUGCUUUUUCGGUGGCCGCUAAGCCCGACAUGUACGCUGGAUCUGCGUUUGCGCUCUCGCCGUCGCCGAG